AAAAUUUUAAGUUAUUUAAACUAUUAGUCUUCAAAACUAAAAAUAUUUUAUUAAUAAAUUUUA
rnacentral:tRNA from 1 species